UACAGAGACCUCAAGCGUUAUCCGGAAUUAUUGGGCGUAAAGAGCUCGUAGGCGGUUUGUUGCGUCGGCUGUGAAAUCCCGAGGCUCAACCUCGGGUCUGCAGUCGAUACGAGCAAACUAGAGUGUUGCAGGGGAGACUGGAAUUCCUGGUGUAGCGGUGAAAUGCGCAGAUAUCAGGAGGAACACCGGUGGCGAAGGCGGGUCUCUGGGCAACAACUGACGCUGAGGAGCGAAAGCGUGGGGAGCGAACAGG
rnacentral:rRNA from 1 species